rnacentral:rRNA from 1 species
UACGUAGGGAGCAAGCGUUGUCCGGAAUCAUUGGGCGUAAAGCGCGCGUAGGUGGCUCUAUAAGUCCGUUGUGAAAGUCAAAGGCUCAACCUUUGAAAGCCGAUGGAUACUGCAGGGCUAGAGUCCGGAAGAGGCGAGUGGAAUUCCUGGUGUAGCGGUGGAAUGCGCAGAUAUCAGGAGGAACACCAAUAGCGAAGGCAGCUCGCUGGGACGGUACUGACGCUAAGGCGCGAAAGCGUGGGGAGCGAACAGG